AACGAACGCUGGCGGUAGGCCUAACACAUGCAAGUCGAGCGCUACCUUCGGGUGGAGCGGCGGACGGGUUAGUAACGCGUGGGAAUAUACCCAGAUCUAAGGAAUAGCCUCGGGAAACUGAGAGUAAUACCUUGUACGCCCUUCGGGGGAAAGAUUUAUCGGAUUUGGAUUAGCCCGCGUUAGAUUAGAUAGUUGGUGGGGUAAUGGCCUACCAAGUCUACGAACUAUAGCUGGUUUUAGAGGACGAUCAGCAACACUGGGACUGAGACACGGCCCAG
rnacentral:rRNA from 1 species